AACGCAACUUGCGCCCUUUUUUGGGCAUGUCUGUUUGAGUACCAUUUUCCUCCUGUCUCUCUCUCCUUGAAAGAGGAGGGUGAGGCGACUUGUCUAGUCAGUCAGAGUUAAAUGGCGGCUAGAUUAAAAGUAGUAUUCUAAUACUCUUGUUGGAGUAGACGGUGUAAACCGAGCUAGAGGCCUAACUGGUCUUGUCCGGUGAGCACUAUUACUCUUCUAACAACAUCAUUUUUGGUCUCAAAUCAGGCAAGACUACCCGCUGAACUUAA
rnacentral:misc_RNA from 1 species